rnacentral:rRNA from 1 species
GAUGAACGCUGGCGGCGUGCCUAACACAUGCAAGUCGAACGAAGCUUGACGGAUGAUUUCUUCGGAAUGAAACCAGAUAUGACUUAGUGGCGGACGGGUGAGUAGCACGUGAGCAACCUGCCUUUCAGAGGGGGAUAACGGCUGGAAACGGUCGCUAAUACCGCAUGAUGUGUUCGGAUGGCAUCAUCUGAACAUCAAAGAUUUAUCGCUGAAAGAUGGGCUCGCGUCUGAUUAGAUAGUUGGUGGGGUAACGGCCUACCAAGUCUACGAUCAGUAGCCGGACUGAGAGGUUGAACGGCCACAUUGGGACUGAGAUACGGCCCAGACUCCUACGGGAGGCAGCAGUGGGGAAUAUUGCACAAUGGGGGAAACCCUGAUGCAGCAACGCCGCGUGAAGGAUGACGGUUUUCGGAUUGUAAACUUCUUUUCUUAGUGACGAAGACAGUGACGGUAGCUAAGGAAUAAGCAUCGGCUAACUACGUG